rfam:Streptomyces albulus strain NK660, complete genome.
AUCCUGAACCGGGGCGAGAGCAGGGCGCCCCGGUUCCGGCAAGACAUACACCGUGCCACGGAAUUUGUGUGCACAUAUGGGCGUU